AGGAAACAGAGAAGGAAAGGAAAACUGCAAAAGAGGAAAGAGGUGCCGAGAAAGAGAAGGUACUGAUCAUGGAACUUCUGCACAAAGAGUUGGAGAAGGAAAUAUCAAGGAUUCCCAAGGUUAAUCCAUACCCUUUUUUGUGGUAUAGAAUUUUCUUGAUCAACCUUUUUUGUCUUCGUUUGCUAGUUGAAAAAAUUGAUGAAGUGUACUGCGAAUAUCAUUUGCAGAUCCCACCAAAACCAUGAUAGUUAGAAAGUUGAUUAACUGGUUGAAUACUCAAAUUUAUAUAAAGGUCCAAAUUAACUGGUUGAGCACGAUACCACGCCUUACGUAUCUUUUCCAUCAACUUUGUUUUCCUUCAUUCUCCUGUUGCUUUUUAGUGCUGGUUUGGUAUCAUUCUAAGAGCAGGAAGCUCUUCAACC